ACUAAGUAAGUAGAUUUAUUUUUAAAUAAUUAUAAAAUAAAUAUAAACUCUGGUACUCCUGGACUUUCCUUACCCUACCUCCUCCACGGAACUCGCCUUUUCAUUCUUCAUUUCCAUUUUCAUGGCGAAGAAGAAGGAGAAUGUGGUGGCGCUCGCCGUCUUCCUCCUCCUCUUCCUCCAUACAGAGGCUGCAGAACACAAACAGUUGACUCAAAAACAACAACAACAAUUGCUACGCUUCGACGGCAAAAAGGGGGAGUUUAAAAUACUCCAAGUGGCUGAUAUGCACUAUGGCGACGGCAAGACCACUCCUUGUGAAGACGUCUUCCCCCAACAGCUACCCUUUUGCUCCGAUCUUAAUACUACCGCCUUCAUCAACCGCAUGAUCCUUGCCGAGAAACCCAACCUCAUCGUUUUCACCGGGGAUAACAUCUUCGGGUUUGAUGCAACGGAUCCAGCCAAAUCCAUGGAUGCUGCAUUUGCUCCCGCAAUAUUGUCUAAAAUCCCAUGGGCUGCUGUUCUGGGAAACCAUGACCAAGAAUCCGCCCUCUCAAGGGAAGGUGUCAUGAAAUAUAUUGUUGGCAUGAACCACACCUUGUCUCAGUUCAAUCCUUCUGACGCCCACAUCAUUGAUGGUUUUGGAAACUACAAUCUGGAAGUCCACGGGGUUCACGGUUCCAAUUUUGUAAAUAAAUCACUUCUCAAUCUCUACUUCCUUGACAGUGGGGAUUACUCCACAGUUCCAUCCAUCCUUGGCUAUGGCUGGAUCAAACCAUCCCAGCAAUUUUGGUUUCAACGCACUUCUAUCAAGCUUAAGAAAGCAUACAUGAGCAAGCCAGAGCCUCAGAAAGCUCCUGCUCCCGGCAUCGCAUACUUCCACAUUCCAUUGCCUGAGUAUGCGAGCUUCGACUCGUCAAAUUUCACAGGUGUGAAACAGGAAGGCAUUAGCUCUGCUUCUGUAAACUCUGGCUUCUUCACGACCAUGGUGGAAGCUGGGGAUGUGAAGGCUGUUUUCACAGGCCAUGAUCACCUCAAUGACUUCUGUGGUGAGCUCACUGGUAUACACCUCUGUUAUGCUGGAGGUUUCGGUUAUCAUGCUUAUGGGCAGGCUGGAUGGUCAAGGAGGGCAAGGGUGGUUGUAGCCUCUUUGGAGAAAACAGCAAAGGGUGGUUGGGGACCAGUCAAGUCUAUCAAAACAUGGAAGCGCCUUGAUGAUGAACACCUCACUGCUAUCGACGGUCAGGUCCUUUGGAGCAAGAGUUCUGCUGUUGGUAAGUGCACACAGACUGACUGUGCCUCAAACAAGACUUGAACCCUCGACCUCCCACGUGGGAGGAGGAUAUAGCACUUGAGCUAAACGCUUGGAAGCCGUAGAAAGAAACAGGGUGGCUUCGUUUGAUCGAUGCAGAAAAGUAAGAUAUACACACAAAUUGACAACCACAGCAAAAUGGGUUCAGAAGUAAGUUUUAUGUUUGGUCCAAUGGGAAUGUUUUGUUUUGUAGUUUAUAAUGUUAUAUGAAGGUUGGUUAAAUUUGUAAGAUUUAAGUGAGAAGUGAACACUGAAGGUAAUUUUGUAUGUAUGAGAAGGUGAUUGGUAAUGGUAAAGAAUUUGAUCUCCUAA